AUCCAACUGACGAGUCCUAAAUAGGACGAAACGCGCGUCCUGGAU
rfam:Schistosoma margrebowiei strain Zambia genome assembly, scaffold: SMRZ_contig0005619